CCUACGAGUGGCAGCAGUGAGGAAUAUUGGUCAAUGGGCGCGAGCCUGAACCAGCCAAGUCGCGUGAGGGAGGGCGGCCCUACGGGUUGUAAACCUCUUUUGCCGGGGAGCAACGGGCGUCACAUGUGGCGCCACUGAGAGUACCCGGAGAAAAAGCAUCGGCUAACUCCGUGCCAGCAGCCGCGGUAAUACGGAGGAUGCGAGCGUUAUCCGGAUUUAUUGGGUUGACAGGGUGCGCCGGCGGAAGAACAAGGCAGCGGUAAAAUUGAGAGGCUCAACCUCUUCGAGCCGUUGAAACUGGUUUUCUUGAGUGAGUGAGAAGUAUGCGGAAUGCGUGGUGUAGCGGUGAAAUGCAUAGAUAUCACGCAGAACUCCGAUUGCGAAGGCAGCAUACCGGCGCCCAACUGACGCUGAAGCACGAAAGCGUGGGUAUCGAACAGGAUUAGAUACCCCAGUAGUC
rnacentral:rRNA from 1 species